GAUGAACGCUGGCGGCGUGCCUAAUACAUGCAAGUCGAGCGAACAGACGAGGAGCUUGCUCCUCUGACGUUAGCGGCGGACGGGUGAGUAACACGUGGAUAACCUACCUAUAAGACUGGGAUAACUUCGGGAAACCGGAGCUAAUACCGGAUAAUAUAUUGAACCGCAUGGUUCAAUAGUGAAAGACGGUUUUGCUGUCACUUAUAGAUGGAUCCGCGCCGCAUUAGCUAGUUGGUAAGGUAACGGCUUACCAAGGCAACGAUGCGUAGCCGACCUGAGAGGGUGAUCGGCCACACUGGAACUGAGACACGGUCCAGACUCCUACGGGAGGCAGCAGUAGGGAAUCGUCCGCAAUGGGCGAAAGCCUGCCGGAGCAACGCCGCGUAAGUGAUGAAGGUCUUCGGAUCGUAAAACUCUGUUAUUAGGGAAGAACAAAUGUGUAAGUAACUAUGCACGUCUUGACGGUACCUAAUCAGAAAGCCACGGCUAACUACGUG
rnacentral:rRNA from 1 species